rnacentral:misc_RNA from 1 species
GAGGGUCGCGAGACCUCCCUAAUACCUUCAACCAACCCGCGUACCUACCCGAGGGGGCCCUAGCGGCCACAAACAUGAUGCCUCGGUCGGCGGCCCCAGGGGGGGCCUCUGCCUGCGCGCCUUCCGGGGUGCGUGGGUGCCGGCCGGCGGCCAAAAACAAAACCUGAACGUUAUAAUGACAAUUCUUUACAAACCAAAACCAUUA